CCUACGGGUGGCAGCAGUGGGGAAUAUUGCACAAUGGGGGGAACCCUGAUGCAGCAAUGCCGCGUGGGUGAAGAAGCACUCCGGUGCGUAAAGCCCUGUCAGCAGGGAAGAAAAUGACAGUACCUGGACAAGAAGCCCCGGCUAACUACGUGCCAGCAGCCGCGGUAAUACGUAGGGGGCAAGCGUUAUCCGGAUUUACUGGGUGUAAAGCGCUCGUAGGCGGUAUGUCAAGUCAAGGGUGAAAUCCCCGCGCUCAACGUGGGAACUGCCUUUGAAACUGGCAAACUGGAGUGUGUGAGAGGAUAGUGGAAUUCCAGGUGUAGGAGUGAAAUCCGUAGAUAUCUGGAGGAACAUCAGUGGCGAAGGCGACUAUCUGGCACAUAACUGACGCUGAGGAGCGAAAGCGUGGGUAGCAAACAGGAUUAGAUACCCGAGUAGUC
rnacentral:rRNA from 1 species